CGUUUUUGUAUACUACGCUGAAUUAUAAAUCUUCAAUUUGCAGCACGUCCCUUGCUCCGCACGGUUGAACUCCCUUCAACGCUGAAUCCCUCAGUCGGCGGAUCGAUCUCCUCCCGAGAUCUGUUUAAGCCCCUCUCCCGAAGAACCGAUCUUCUUUUUGUAUAGAAGAAGCAAACUUGUGAUACUCCUUGAAUCUGUGUCUUCACCACAAAGCCUUGAAGCCGGUAUAUUUUCUAUGAAAAUCACGUAUCACGAUGGAGCAAUAAAAACGAGAGAGAAAAAAAUAUUUCUCUGAAAUCUUCUCUCGAUUAACAAGACGCUCCGGGAGCAGCAAAAAUAAGAGCGGAAAAAUAUAAUUUUUCUUCUCCAACAAAAGGCGUGCUACAGCAACCAAGAAAAGAGAGAUCGGCUUCUCUCCAAAACGACGCCAAUAAAAACGAGAGUAAAGAAAAUAUUCUGCGUAAAUUUUUCUCUCAAAGAAGACGUGAGAUCUGAGGUGCCGUAUUGCUGUAUUUAUACUUCUACAUGUUAUAAGAAUCCUACAAGGAAAAAAGAGUCCAUUAGGGUUAGGAAACUCUUAAUUACGUAGGAAAUAAUAUUUUCAAAACAAGGAAACUCUUUAGAAGAAUAAUUCCUAUUAUAAAUCAAUUAAUGACAAAUUAAAAGAAUUAAAAGCUACAAGGACUCUUCCCUUCUUUAGCUCAUGGUAUAUGAAAACUUGUGGCACAAGUUUUAUUAAUUCUCGUACAAUUAGAAUCCAUAGGAUUCUAACAAUCUCCCCCUUUGUCGUUUAUUGAUUAUAAUUAUUUUGUCCCGCUGAGUAAAAAACCUGAAAAUAAAACAAUCAGAUGAUUAGACCGAAGCAAAUAAAACGAAAGAUCAUCAUCAACUCUUUUCAACAACAAGAGUGGCAUCAACUGCUGCAACAGUAAGUGCCACAGUUUCAGCAACUGUUCCCACAGUAGUGGCUUUGGCAGGUGGUUCACAACGGAGUCAGCUCUCCCUGCAUGUGUAUCUCCCUCUGUGAAUGAUCCUUAGGCAGCUCCUCUUGUAAAUGCAUUCAUACUCCCCCUUUGCUUACUUGGCUUGGUAGACUUGGGAGGCGGUGGAUGACGACGUGGUAAAUUAUCCACGUGAUAAGAGACUCAGCAAAUAACAUCGGCAUUAUAGCUCCUCCUUUUAUAUUCUUGUGAAGACCUAAACCAAUUAAUGACAAUAAACAUCUCCAUAGAAUUUCACUUGGUGUUGUGGACUUAGAAUCCCACGAGAUUCUAACACUCUCCCCCUUUGGCAUUGAUUGGUCAGAAUAUUUACUCCCCCUAACUAUAUGAUACAUGCAUGAACAAGGGUUAACAACUUCAGAAUAACAUCUGCACAUAUAAACUGUUGCAACAGUUUAUCAAACAGUUCACCAGAUAGUGUAAACCGUAAAUAAACCAUAGUUCCAAAAUAAAAGCAGAUAAUUCGUUCAGAUAAGCACGAGAUAAAAGGAUAUGCAGUAGCAGAAACAACUUCUCUUCACAAUGCUUAUUAUUUGUCCUAUAUUUCUGCCCAGCAACUGUCUCAUGCACUGUUUCAACAGUUGUCUGAACUCCCCCUGCAUUCCUGCACUGUUCCAGCAACUGUCUGAUGCACUGUCGCAACAGUUGUCGGAACCCCCCCUAUGUUCAUGCCAUCGUUACUGUUCUUUUCUCCUGUUCUUUUCUCCCCCUUUCUGGGCAAUCACCAUGCAGAGAUAACUCAACAUGGACUAAUGAUCUUGAUGAUUCAAGCAAGCUGUUCAAACACUUAACAAAAAGAUCAAAACGAAGAGAGAAUCUUGGAAGUAAGUGAGAAGAAUCACUAUACAUAACGUGCACAGAAAAUCACAAACUCACAAACUCAAUACCACACGAUAAUUGCAAUGCGAAAAUCAAGGAUAGUGAUAUCAAAUCCAACAUUAAAUAGCAAAGACUACAGACUUUGCCAAACUUCAUAAGAAACGUGGAAAUGUGAGGAGUAAGCCCAAUCGAUCCGGUUGCAACAAAAAAAAAUCAAAUUUAACCGGCACAUAAACAAAAAUCCCGUCUCUCUCUCUCUCUCUUUUUUUUUUUUUUUUUUUUUUUUUUUUUUAAAAAAUGCGUAAUGCAGUACAAAAAGUAAACAUGAGAAAUAAACAUGAGUGAAGAGACAUAUGUGAAUAGGAUACUGCAUAGACAAACAAAACAUAUGGGAUUUAUCUUCACAUUUACGACAAGCGUAAUCCCCAAAAAUCCGACUGCCAAUGCAACCAAUAAACUUAAUAAUCCCAAGUCAAACACAAAGAUGCUCUUAUUAGGUAGCGUACACAUACGUCUAAUGGUAGCUUUUUCCCAUGAAAAACAGAGCAAUUAAAAGGAACGAGAUUAUGCUGGUCGUGCAAUGUGUAGUCCCCUGGGCUUUCUAAUUGAGCUUUGUAGUAAGUGUUCGGUCAAGUGGUUUACUGGCUCGACUCACCUAGGCUUCGAACUAUUCACUGACCAUAUAUAUAUAAUUUAUAUUGGCCGUGCAAUGUGUAGUCCCCUGGGCUUUCUAAUUGAGCCUUGUAGCGAGCUUUCGGCCACGUGAUUUACUGGCUCGACUCAAAAAGGCUUCGAACUAUUCACUGACCAAAUGGUUGUAGAUAUAUAUAUAUAUAUAUAUAUAUAUAUAUAUAUAUAUAUAUAUAUAUAUAUAUAUAUUAGUAACAGUAGUUCAAGAGUAGCUUUCACUCAUUAAAAGAGGCAGCUUUUCCCUAUAAAAACAUCCAACCAUGACAAGACUAUUCAGAGAAAUAAAUAAGUUGGAGCCUUUUAAGUAAUCAUUUUGGGAAUUGGUGAAGCUCUACCCCCACAAAGAUUAGAAGUACAUGAAGCAUCAAAUUCACAUUUGUCUCAAUCAGAUGCAGUAUGCUUAAUGCAGAUCCUAUAUGAGAUGCAAAAACAUAUGAAGUGUCCUACCUCUAAAAGUUGCAAGUCUGGACACACAGACAGUUGCAACAGUUCAUGCAACUGCAUCAGAUUAAACAACAUAAAUUCUCAGCGAUUUUCGCAAGGAAUCAAAUUUAUGUGCAUCAAGGGUUUUUGCAAAAGCAUCAGUUAAUUCAUUCUCCGUUGCAGCAUAAUCAAUUGAGACAACCCCCUUUUCGACCAAGCCCCUUAUGAAAAGAUGACAAAUAUCAGUAAGCUUAGUUCUCGAAUGCUGAAUUGGAUUCAUAAACUUAUUUUUCACAUACAAAUUAUCACAAUUCAGAUUACCAAGUUUUUUAUUCCCCAACCUAGUUUUGUCACCAGAACUGUUGGACUAGUUAGUACUAUAAUCACAUGAGUUUAAAGAAGUAAUGGCAGAUAAACAAUUAAGAUCAGACUUCUUUACCCAGAUUUUUUGUUGAGUUUUAUUCACUAAAUCAACCUUUAUCUUGGGUUUUUGAGACGACACAAAAGUGUGAUCAAUUUUGGCGGAAAGUGGUGAGCAGGCCAUUAUUCUUUUAACCAUUUUCAAGUACUUAAAACACCUGGGUCGUAUAUGACCAGCAACAUGACAAAAAUGACAAAUAGGCACAAAACGUUUUCUUUGAAAUGACUGUUUUGGCGCAACUGUCGCAACAGUCUGUGAAACAGUGCAUUGUUUAACAAAAUUGAUUUUUCCUAUUGGAUCUUCUUUCUGUUUCAAAGCAUCAUCAGAUAGUUUAUUACCCCUUACACCUAGAUGACCAUAGUACGGCUGAUUUGUUCUCAAAAUUUCAUUCAAAUUUACCCUACCUGUAUUUAAUUUUGAAAUAGAAUCUUGGGUUUUAGCAAAUUUGGCCUUCAAACUAUCUGUUUCUCUACUAGCAGAAAUAACAUUUUGUUCAAGAGUAGAAAUUCUUACCUUCAAUACUUUGUUUUCCUCAAUUAGGACAAGCUUCUCUUUUUCUAAGAAUUUAUUCGACUCGCAUACCUGAAGAAAUUUUUCGUACAUCCUUUCAUAGCACUCCUUUAAUUCUUCCAAGGAUGACGCGUCAUCAUCGCUGUUGUUUUCUGAAUCCCAAUCAUCACCUGCAAGAUUUAACGGAGUUAAUCUUUUAUGAGAUAUUGAAUUCAACUUAUCAUACCUAAGUUCUGUCUGAACAGUCUGUCUAACUGUUGCAACAGUUUCAGCGACAGUCUGUUUGCACUUGUUUAUCUGAGUAGUUCCUUCGUAGGCCUCUUGUAGAACAUCCCAUGCCUCCUUUGCUGAUUUGCACAUUGAUAUCAAUUUGAAUUGAUCUUCAUCGAUACAACUUAAGAUAGCAUUGGUUGCCUUGGAAUUAUAAUCUGCUAUUCGUACUUCUUCAUCACUCCACUUCUCUUUUGGGGUUUGAAUGAUCUCGUGUGACUCAUUCAUUGAGGUAGGAGGUGUCCAACCAAUUAGAAUCGCGCGCCAGGCCCAUUCAUCAAUAGAUUUAAUGAACAUCUUCAUCCUUAUUUUCCAAUCAGAGUAGUUUAAUUCACCCAAGACAGGUGGUAGGAAUGCGCCUUCACGAUGAUUAUUCAUGUCUGCACAAAAAAAAUAAAAAAUAAUUAAAUCCCAAAAUCUCACUAAGUGUAUCUAGUGACAGGCUCUUGAUGCCAAUUGUUAGAAUUUAUUUCGUGCAGAUAUAAAUUAUUUGUGUCAGAUUCAGUUUUUCGUUACUGUUGCGUGAAGAGUUGCAACAGUUCGUGAAACAGUUUGUAAAAACAGAAAUAAACGAGACACAAAUUUAAUGUGGUUCGGAUACAACUGUACCCUACAUCCACGGGGACCUGCAAAUUAAAUUUACUAAUUUUUAGUUUUACGAAUACAAUAAUAGGACUUAAUCAAAAUACAAAGACUCCCUCUUUGUUGACGCCGUUCUUGUAUACUACGCUGAAUUAUAAAUCUUCAAUUUGCAGCACGUCCCUUGCUCCGCACGGUUGAACUCCCUUCAACGCUGAAUCCCUCAGUCGGCGGAUCGAUCUCCUCCCGAGAUCUGUUUAAGCCCCUCUCCCGAAGAACCGAUCUUCUUUUUGUAUAGAAGAAGCAAACUUGUGAUACUCCUUGAAUCUGUGUCUUCACCACAAAGCCUUGAAGCCGGUAUAUUUUCUAUGAAAAUCACGUAUCACGAUGGAGCAAUAAAAACGAGAGAGAAAAAAAUAUUUCUCUGAAAUCUUCUCUCGAUUAACAAGACGCUCCGGGAGCAGCAAAAAUAAGAGCGGAAAAAUAUAAUUUUUCUUCUCCAACAAAAGGCGUGCUACAGCAACCAAGAAAAGAGAGAUCGGCUUCUCUCCAAAACGACGCCAAUAAAAACGAGAGUAAAGAAAAUAUUUUGCGUAAAUUUUUCUCUCAAAGAAGACGUGAGAUCUGAGGCGCCGUAUUGCUGUAUUUAUACUUCUACAUGUUAUAAGAAUCCUACAAGGAAAAAAGAGUCCAUUAGGGUUAGGAAACUCUUAAUUACGUAGGAAAUAAUAUUUUCAAAACAAGGAAACUCUUUAGAAGAAUAAUUCCUAUUAUAAAUCAAUUAAUG
rnacentral:lncRNA from 1 species